GAUGAAGAACGCAGCGAAAUGCGAUAAGUAGUGUGAAUUGCAGAAUUCAGUGAAUCAUCGAAUCUUUGAACGCACAUUGCGCCCCUUGGUAUCCCGAGGGGCAUGCCUGUUCGAGCGUCAUUUCACCACUCAAGCCUGGCUUGGUGUUGGGCGACGUCCUCUUUGGGGAUGCGCCUCGAAACGCUCGGCGGCGUGGCACCGGCUUUAAGCGUAGCAGAAUCUUUCGCUUUGGAAGUCGGGGCCCCGUCUGCCGGAAGACCUGCUCGCAAGGUUGACCUCGGAUCAGGCAGGGAUACCCGCUGAACUUAAGCAUAUCAAUAAGCGGAGGA
rnacentral:misc_RNA from 1 species